AACGAGCGCUGGCGGCAUGCCUAACACAUGCAAGUCGAACGAGACCUUCGGGUCUAGUGGCGCACGGGUGCGUAACGCGUGGGAAUCUGCCCUUGGGUUCGGAAUAACAGUUAGAAAUGACUGCUAAUACCGGAUGAUGACGUAAGUCCAAAGAUUUAUCGCCCAAGGAUGAGCCCGCGUAGGAUUAGCUAGUUGGUAAGGUAAAGGCUUACCAAGGCGACGAUCCUUAGCUGGUCUGAGAGGAUGAUCAGCCACACUGGGACUGAGACACGGCCCAGACUCCUACGGGAGGCAGCAGUGGGGAAUAUUGGACAAUGGGCGAAAGCCUGAUCCAGCAAUGCCGCGUGAGUGAUGAAGGCCUUAGGGUUGUAAAGCUCUUUUACCAGGGAUGAUAAUGACAGUACCUGGAGAAUAAGCUCCGGCUAACUCCGUGCCAGCCGCCGCCGUAAUAC
rnacentral:rRNA from 1 species